rnacentral:lncRNA from 1 species
GGAUCUCAACAACUAAACAAUAAGAAAUUGCAAAUAAAACGUACUUUAUUCACACAACUUUUAUAAAGAACAGAAACAUGUAAUCGUAAGUAUAUACAUAUUAUAAAUUCCUAGCAAGACACCAAAAUAGUCAAAACAAUUCAUUCAUUUGCAUCACUUCCACAUUCAUGCUUCAAUAGCGUAAUAGAACGAGGAGAAAAAUUAGAACCUGGUACAACGAAGCUCGCUUGAUAUAAAAUUACCGCAACAACUCGAACAACGAUCGAACCCGAACAAAACCAACAGACCACACCUCGAAAAAAAGGCUUCGAACAACAGCAACAACUCGAACAACGAUCGAACACGAACAAAAACCAACAGACCACACCUCGAACAAAAUGGCUUCGAACAGCACCCCAAUCGAUCAACCUCGGAUCUUCAAUAUACUCAGUUCAACAAUGGCGGCAAGAACAAACAAUGGAUAUUUUUUAAGAGAAAACAGAAGACGAUGGAGAUGAGGUGAAGAACAGUGGAGUCUUUGGCUAUGGGGUUUCAUGGAAGCUCGGGUUCUCUCAUGGCUACUGGUUGUUGGUGGUUGACUGGUUAUGGCGACGUAGGAUUGGUGGUUGGCGAGUGAGCUGAGGAUGAUGGACGCUGGGCUGCUGGCGUGGUCGACUGGUUUGACAGAAGCGAGAAAUUGGUGGUGAUGGCUGGCUGUUCGUCGACUAGUGGAAGCAGCAGCGGUGGACGGGUUCGUAGAAGUUACUGGUUGGGUUCACGGGGGUUGGGACGUGGGGUGACUGGACGAAGCAGAAGGGUUUUUUGACUUGUUUUGUUUGAAUAUGAAGAAGACGAAUAAGACGAAGAAGGCAUAGUGUCUCUUCCAGCUCUAAGGGUCUCCCCCAAAAAUAUCUCCUCCC